rnacentral:rRNA from 1 species
ACUCCUACGGGAGGCAGCAGUGGGGAAUAUUGGACAAUGGGGGAAACCCUGAUGCAGCCAUGCCGCGUGUGUGAAGAAGGCCUUCGGGUUGUAAAGCACUUUCAGCGAGGAGGAAAGGUUGAUGCCUAAUACGUAUCAGCUGUGACGUUACUCGCAGAAGAAGCACCGGCUAACUCCGUGCCAGCAGCCGCGGUAAUACA